AACGAACGCUGGCGGCAGGCCUAACACAUGCAAGUCGAGCGGACCCUUCGGGGUUAGCGGCGGACGGGUGAGUAACGCGUGGGAAUAUGCCCUUCUCUACGGAAUAGUCCUGGGAAACUGGGGGUAAUACCGUAUACGCCCUUUGGGGGAAAGAUUUAUCGGGGAAGGAUUAGCCCGCGUUGGAUUAGGUAGUUGGUGGGGUAAUGGCCUACCAAGCCAACGAUCCAUAGCUGGUUUGAGAGGAUGAUCAGCCACACUGGGACUGAGACACGGCCCAGACUCCUACGGGAGGCAGCAGUGGGGAAUCUUAGACAAUGGGGGCAACCCUGAUCUAGCCAUGCCGCGUGAGUGAUGAAGGCCUUAGGGUUGUAAAGCUCUUUCAGCUGGGAAGAUAAUGACGGUACCAGCAGAAGAAGCCCCGGCUAACUCCGUG
rnacentral:rRNA from 1 species